rnacentral:pre_miRNA from 1 species
GCUAAUGUUUGCCUCUUCGUCUUAUUUUAUUUUUUUAUAAUUAAUAUUUUUAUUGUUACUAGAUGAUAAAACAUGAAUAGUACUUUACACGUGACUAAUUUUUUAAAUUUCUUUAUAAUUUUUCUAAUAAGACGGAUGAUCAAACAUUAAACA